GACGAACCGUGCGAACGUUGUUCGGAAUCACUGGGCUUAAAGGGCGCGUAGGCGGUUUGCCAAGUCAGGGGUGAAAUCCUGCAGCUCAACUGUAGAAGUGCCUUUGAUACUGGCGAACUCGAGUCCGGGAGAGGUGAGUGGAACUGCGAGUGUAGAGGUGAAAUUCGUAGAUAUUCGCAAGAACACCAGUGGCGAAGGCGGCUCACUGGCCCGGUACUGACGCUGAGGUGCGAAAGCGUGGGGAGCAAACAGG
rnacentral:rRNA from 1 species